rnacentral:rRNA from 1 species
UAUUCCCCACUGCUGCCUCCCGUAGGAGUCUGGGCCGUAUCUCAGUCCCAAUGUGGCCGUUUAACCUCUCAGUCCGGCUACUGAUCAUCGUCUUGGUAGGCCGUUACCCCACCAACUAACUAAUCAGACGCAAGCCCAUCUAUUAGCGAAUUGCUCCUUUUCUGACUACAUCAUGCGAUGUUUCCAGCUUAUACGGUAUAGCAAUGAUUUCUCACUGUUAUUCCCUACUAAUAGGCAGGUUGCUUACGCGUUACUCACCAGUCCGCCACUAACCGCUUCCAUUAGUAAACUAACGAAUUAAGUUCGUUCGACUUGCAUGUCUUAUGUGCGCCGCCAGCGUUCAUCCUGAGCCAA